rnacentral:rRNA from 1 species
AACGAACGCUGGCGGCAUGCCUAACACAUGCAAGUCGAACGAGACCUUCGGGUCUAGUGGCGCACGGGUGCGUAACGCGUGGGAACCUGCCCUUAGGUUCGGAAUAACUCCCCGAAAGGGGUGCUAAUACCGGAUAAUUUCUUCGGACCAAAGAUUUAUCGCCUUUGGAUGGGCCCGCGUUGGAUUAGCUAGUUGGUAGGGUAAAAGCCUACCAAGGCGACGAUCCAUAGCUGGUCUGAGAGGAUGAUCAGCCACACUGGGACUGGGACACGGCCCAGACUCCUACGGGAGGCAGCAGUGGGGAAUAUUGGACAAUGGGCGAAAGCCUGAUCCAGCAAUGCCGCGUGAGUGAUGAAGGCCUUAGGGUUGUAAAGCUCUUUUACCCGGGAUGAUAAUGACAGUACCGGGAGAAUAAGCGCCGGCUAACUCCGUG